rnacentral:rRNA from 1 species
CGGAGCUGAAGUCAGUCGAAGAUACCAGCUGGCUGCAACUGUUUAUUAAAAACACAGCACUGUGCAAACACGAAAGUGGACGUAUACGGUGUGACGCCUGCCCGGUGCCGGAAGGUUAAUUGAUGGGGUCAGCGCAAGCGAAGCUCCUGAUCGAAGCCCCGGUAAACGGCGGCCGUAACUAUAACGGUCCUAAGGUAGCGAAAUUCCUUGUCGGGUAAGUUCCGACCUGCACGAAUGGCGUAAUGAUGGCCAGGCUGUCUCCACCCGAGACUCAGUGAAAUUGAACUCGCUGUGAAGAUGCAGUGUACCCGCGGCAAGACGGAAAGACCCCGUGAACCUUUACUAUAGCUUGACACUGAACAUUGAGCCUUGAUGUGUAGGAUAGGUGGGAGGCUUUGAAGCGUGGACGCCAGUCUGCGUGGAGCCGACCUUGAAAUACCACCCUUUAAUGUUUGAUGUUCUAACGUGGACCCGUGAUCCGGGUUGCGGACAGUGUCUGGUGGGUAGUUUGACUGGGGCGGUCUCCUCCUAAAGAGUAACGGAGGAGCACGAAGGUUGGCUAAUCCUGGUCGGACAUCAGGAGGUUAGUGCAAUGGCAUAAGCCAGCUUGACUGCGAGCGUGACGGCGCGAGCAGGUGCGAAAGCAGGUCAUAGUGAUCCGGUGGUUCUGAAUGGAAGGGCCAUCGCUCAACGGAUAAAAGGUACUCCGGGGAUAACAGGCUGAUACCGCCCAAGAGUUCAUAUCGACGGCGGUGUUUGGCACCUCGAUGUCGGCUCAUCACAUCCUGGGGCUGAAGUAGGUCCCAAGGGUAUGGCUGUUCGCCAUUUAAAGUGGUACGCGAGCUGGGUUUAGAACGUCGUGAGACAGUUCGGUCCCUAUCUGCCGUGGGCGCUGGAGAACUGAGGGGGGCUGCUCCUAGUACGAGAGGACCGGAGUGGACGCAUCACUGGUGUUCGGGUUGUCAUGCCAAUGGCACUGCCCGGUAGCUAAAUGCGGAAGAGAUAAGUGCUGAAAGCAUCUAAGCACGAAACUUGCCCCGAGAUGAGUUCUCCCUGAGACUUUAGGUCUCCUGAAGGAACGUUGAAGACGACGACGUUGAUAGGCCGGGUGUGUAAGCGCAGCGAUGCGUUGAGCUAACCGGUACUAAUGAACCGUGAGGCUUAACCUU